GUCGAAUCCAGAAGCCGACUCCAUGAUCAGAGCACUCACUUGGAGAGAAAGAAGAGAACCCGAGGCAGGAGACUGAGAUAUGAAAGCUCUCGCGGCAUGGGUCUUAUAUAGUGACCAAGGAGGAGAUUACUUUGCGACUGGUGGCUCAAGAGGAGUGCUCCAAAUUGGUAAUUACUCCGAGAUUACGCACUGUGGAUGGGCUUGAAUUCGCUUGUACUGUACACGAGCGCAACAACAACUAGAGAGGCUCAUCGCAUCUCGGAGCCAAGGACUGGGGGAGCCUCUCGCCUCAUUCAUUGAGAAGAUGAAGUUCAGAUGUCCAUCUGAACCGAAUACAACUGGGAAGAGUUACUUAAAGCCAAGAGCUUAAAGUUUCGUUCUUACAAUUUUUCAUACAAAAGCUGCAUACCAUCACCUUGGCGUUGCGAGAGCUCUCAGAGGGAUGGCGAAGCCGUUUACCUUGCAGUCUUAGAGGAGCUGGCGGAUGCAAGCGGAAGGUCUCCUUGACCACGGCUUUGAGGGUUGAUUUCUUAUUAGCUCCGAGAGUGCCCACUCCAUGGCGAUAGCCGCUGUGUCAGUUCCUCCGGCAAUUACCAUGAUCAUGCCUUUCAGACAAUCGUUGUCAAAGUCAUCCAGUGACAGCAUCACGUCGAUCAGAUCUGGAGCUUGAUUGUCAACUUUGUCGAGAGCACCUUGUCCAGUUGCUUGUGUGCUGCUUUCAUGGCUCCAACUGCGUUUUGGUAAUCCAGCCAGCCCAAGAAGGGGAGAUAAUCGCCCAAGACGAAAGCUCCCAUAAAAUCCACUGCCUCUCACACCAGCUCCACAAACACCAUAUCAACCGGGAGCUCUCCACUGCGGCCGAUGGAAUUAAUAAGAAAAGAGCUCCAAGUUUGCUACAAUUCUCAUCAUCCUCCAAUGGUCACCAUAUGAAACAUAGGAAACAUGCUCGGCAACUGAGAUCUUUGGCCUUGAUGGAAAAUGGAUGUCAUAAGUGGAGAGAAAAGCUUUUGCUGCAUCUGGGGAGGACACCACAAUGGUUGGAACUACACCAAGUUUGAUACUCAUGAUGGGACCAAAUCUUUCAGAGAGUUUGGACAGGGAUUUGUAAGAGUGAGGUCCUAGCAAAUGCAAAUGCCCAAUAAGUGGAAGUCCAUUUGGUCC